rnacentral:rRNA from 1 species
UACAGAGGGUGCGAGCGUUAAUCGGAAUUACUGGGCGUAAAGCGCGCGUAGGCGGCUUUGCAAGUCGGGUGUGAAAUCCCCAGGCUUAACCUGGGAACUGCAUUCGAGACUGCAUUGCUAGAGUAUGGGAGAGGGAAGGUGGAAUUUCCGGUGUAGCGGUGAAAUGCGUAGAUAUCGAGAGGAACACCUGCGGCGAAGGCGGGUUGCUGGGCUGAUGACUGACACUGAGGCGCGAAAGCUAGGGGAGCGAACGGG